UUGUGCCUACGGGACGCAGCAGUGGGGGAUAUUGCACAAUGGGGGAAACCCUGAUGCAGCGACGCCGCGUGGGCGAAGAAGUAUUUCGGUAUGUAAAGCCCUAUCAGCAGGGAAGAAGAAAUGACGGUACCUGAGUAAGAAGCACCGGCUAAAUACGUGCCAGCAGCCGCGGUAAUACGUAUGGUGCAAGCGUUAUCCGGAUUUACUGGGUGUAAAGGGAGCGCAGGCGGCACGGCAAGCCUGAUGUGAAAGCCCGGGGCUCAACCCCGGGACUGCAUUUGGAACUGUGUAGCUGGAGUGUCGGA
rnacentral:rRNA from 1 species